UACGGGGGGAGCAAGCGUUGUUCGGAUUUACUGGGCGUAAAGGGCGCGUAGGCGGUCAGCACAAGUCAGUUGUGAAAUCUCCGGGCUUAACUCGGAAAGGUCAACUGAUACUGUGCGACUAGAGUGCAGAAGGGGCAACUGGAAUUCUCGGUGUAGCGGUGAAAUGCGUAGAGAUCGGGAGGAACAUCUGUGGCGAAGGCGGCCAUCUGGACCAGCACUGACACUGAGGCACGAAAGCGUGGGGAGCAAACAGG
rnacentral:rRNA from 1 species